rnacentral:rRNA from 1 species
GAUGAACGCUGGCGGCGUGCCUAAUACAUGCAAGUCGAGCGAACGGACGAGAAGCUUGCUUCUCUGAUGUUAGCGGCGGACGGGUGAGUAACACGUGGAUAACCUACCUAUAAGACUGGGAUAACUUCGGGAAACCGGAGCUAAUACCGGAUAAUAUUUUGAACCGCAUGGUUCAAAAGUGAAAGACGGUCUUGCUGUCACUUAUAGAUGGAUCCGCGCUGCAUUAGCUAGUUGGUAAGGUAACGGCUUACCAAGGCAACGAUGCAUAGCCGACCUGAGAGGGUGAUCGGCCACACUGGAACUGAGACACGGUCCAGACUCCUACGGGAGGCAGCAGUAGGGAAUCUUCCGCAAUGGGCGAAAGCCUGACGGAGCAACGCCGCGUGAGUAAUGAAGGUCUUCGGAUCGUAAAACUCUGUUAUUAGGGAAGAACAGAUGUGUAAGUAACUGUGCACAUCUUGACGGUACCUAAUCAGAAAGCCACGGCUAACUACGUG